AAAUUCUUGAAAGGGAUUAAAAAUACUGAAGAGAGAAUCAAAUAGGGGUGUUCAGGGAAUGGCAACGGCGUCGUUUUUGAGCAACAAGUACUGGAUUCUCAGGCAUGGCAAGAGCAUCCCAAAUGAGAAGGGCCUCAUUGUUUCUUCUAUAGAAAAUGGUAUCCUUCCGGAAUAUCAACUGGCCCCUGAGGGUGUUGAACAGGCGCAGUUGGCUGGAGAACAGUUCUUAAAGGAGUUGAAGGAAAAUUCUACGUCGCUAGAAAAUGUUCGGAUUUGCUAUUCACCAUUCUCUAGAACAAUUCAUACAGCUAAAGUUGCUGCAUCUGUAUUGAAUCUUUCAUUUGAAGGCCCCCAGUGUAAGAUGAUGGAGGAUCUCAGGGAACGCUCCUUUGGCCCUUCAUUUGAGCUCUUGUCUCAUGACAAAAAAUUUGGGCUCUUGAUGAGGAAGAUCCAUUCAAGCGGCCUGAAGGUGGAGAAAGCGUUGAAGAUGUUGCUUCAAGGCUUGCCAAAGCAAUUCUUCAAAUUGAGUCCCUAUUUCAAGGGUGUGCGAUCUUGGUGGUCAGCCAUGGGGAUCCCCUUCAGAUUUUUCAGGCGGUCGUCGGAUCAGCCGCCAAGCAAGAAGAUGGAUCGACUUCUAAUGAUUUGGAAUCAACAUUACAAGCCUUCAUUACCAAAGCUAUUCUCUCGAAGCAUCGGAAAUUUGCACUCCUCACCGGAGAGCUUCGAUCUGUCGUUUGAAUUCCAGUAUCUUGUUGCCGGACUUAUUGAAGAAGAUUAUUUCAACAAUUUUCCUCUGUCAAGUUCCAGCAAAGAGAACCCGACCGCCAUAGCUGAUGGAAGAAAUACUAAGUGCUCCUUUUAAGAGGAUUCGAGUGUACAAGUAGUCGGAUUAAGCAUUCCAAUCUUCGAGCUUUGAUUUGGAUCUCUUCAAGUUUGUGGGUUUUUUAAGUUGUUUGCUUGGAAAGUUAUCAUUGGAUAUUGAUUGUAAUCAAUCUACAAGAAAAUUGUGUUUAUGUUUUGGAUUCUAUUCGAAGUAAAGUUCAAGAGGAUCAUGGAGAUAUAAAUAUGUAAGAGUAAAUGAUCUUUAUUAGCUCUUAAUUGGAGUAUUUAUAUUUAACUAAUGUUUUCAAACUAUUUAGUGGAUUGAAAACAUGGCAAGCCGAGCACGAUCUCCAACACUAUCGGUGUUCUCCAAAAUGGAAACCUGUAAAGGUAGCAAAGCGGAGCGUUCAGGAAGGAGUCUACUAACCACCAACACACCAGGACUUGUUCAAUACAAAAAAAUGAAUAUACCCAAGUAGAAAUUGACGUAAUUCGAACCCAAUGGGCAAGUUUUGUUGGCCGAUUUGUGUAAGGAUGUACUUUUUGUUUUUUGUCUCAAUAGAAUGUAAAUGCUAGCUUAGAAUGAAUCUUGACGAGUUUUGAGUAAAAUAUGCAAGUUUAAAAUGAAUUCAAAGUACUAAUUGUUGGUUCAUGGAUAGACGAAUUGUUAUCUAAUCAUGAUUUGUUUAUUGGAAGAUUUAUGUAUACAUUUUUUGGUUUAUGGGAUAUUU